AGGAUUUAAGUUCUUUACGGACCGUAUCUACCGUAUCGCAUCGUUAGCACGAUACAGCUCUCGUAUCGAUGGUAUAGUUUAAAACACUCUAUUUUUUAAAUUAGUAAAUAAUUUUUUUAAUAAAUUUUAAAAAAUUUGAUAAAAAUACAUAAUAAACAGUUAGAAUAUUUUAUUGCUAAAAAAUAUAUAUAUUUCAUGUUAUUAUGUGUCGGUACAUCUGAAUUUUUGUGACCGGCACGUAUCGACAUGAUCCGAUAUACACCAUGCCGACAAAUUUUCAGCACAAUUCCGUGUCACGACACUUAAAUUCUUGCUCCAAACAUCAUUCAAAACAAGAUAUCAACCUUAUUCCAGGCUUAGUGCUCCCCCGUAUUAUAAAGAACAAAUUGGAACAAUAGAUGUUUAUCCCUUUUGUUUCCGUUUAUACCUCUUU
rnacentral:lncRNA from 1 species